rnacentral:rRNA from 1 species
UGAAUACGAGACGCUAAGGCGUCGAAGUAGUGUAUGUCAUACUUCCAAGAAAAGCUUGCACUGUCAUAGAUAAAAAACGCCUGUACCAUAACCGACACAGGUGGGUAGGUAGAGUAUACUAAGGGGCGCGAGAUAACUCUCUCUAAGGAACUCGGCAAAAUAACUCCGUAACUUCGGGAGAAGGAGUGCCUUAUUCUUAAGGUUGCAAUAACAAGAUCCAAGCAACUGUUUAUCAAAAACACAGGUCUCCGCUAAGUCGUAAGACGAUGUAUCGGGGCUGACGCCUGCCCAGUGCCAGAAGGUUAAAGAAGCUGGUUAGCAUUUGCGAAGCUAGUAACUGAAGCCCUGGUGAACGGCGGCCGUAACAAUAACGGUCCUAAGGUAGCGAAAUUCCUUGUCGGGUAAGUUCCGACCCGCACGAAAGGCGUAAUGAUUUGGAUACUGUCUCGGAGAGGGGCUCGGUGAAAUAGACUUGUCUGUGAAGAUGCGGACUACCUGCACCAGGACAGAAAGACCCUAUGAAGCUUUACUGUAACUUGAAAUUGAAAUUGGACUUUAUUCGCGCAGUAUAGGUGGGAGGCGUUGAUUAUAAUCUUGCGGGAUUAUUGGAGCCAUUAGUGAGAUACCACUCUUGUAAUGUUAGAUUUCUAACUUUGAAUCAUUAUCUGGUCAAAGAACAGUUUCAGGCGGGCAGUUUGACUGGGGCGGUCGCCUCCCAAACGGUAACGGAGGCGUACAAAGGUUUCCUCUGAACGGUUAGAAAUCGUAUCUAGAGUGUAAAGGCAUAAGGAAGCUUGACUGUGAGACCUACAAGUCGAGCAGGGACGAAAGUCGGUCUUAGUGAUCUGACGGUACUGAGUGGAAAGGCCGUCACUCAACGGAUAAAAGUUACUCUAAGGAUAACAGGCUGAUCUCCCCCAAGAGUUCACAUCGACGGGGAGGUUUGGCACCUCGAUGUCGGCUCAUCGCAUCCUGGGGCGGUAGUACGUCCCAAGGGUUGGGCUGUUCGCCCAUGAAAGCGGUACGCGAGCUGGGUUCAGAACGUCGUGAGACAGUUCGGUCCAUAUCCGGUGUAGGCGUUAGAAUAUUGAGAGGAGCCUCCUUUAGUACGAGAGGACCGAGAAGGACAUACCUCUGGUGUACCAGUUAUCGUGCCAACGGUAGACGCUGGGUAGCUAUGUAUGGAGUGGAUAACCGCUGAAAGCAUCUAAGUGGGAAGCCCACCUCAAGAUAAGUAUUCUCA